AUCCCCGACGUCUGCGCCCCUGAAGAGCCGGGUCGCAGACGGAGGCUCCAGAUUUACCAUCGUGCGAAACGCGGCUCAGCCCGGCGUCACCGCUGCCCGGGAAGUCAGCAACGCUUCCAGCCGUUGCUAGGCGACGGGGGAGGAAGUGACCUCCCGGAAGUGCGGGUGCACGCGCCUGCGUGUCCGCGGGUCGGUCGGCAACCCGGGGCGGCUCUUCCGCCCUGAAGUGGCGUUGACGCCUCCCGGCCGCCGUAGGCGGAGGGUGGGGGCCGGUGGCCCCGGGCGCCCACUCGGGUGCCCCCAGCCCCGCGGGGCCGUGGGCCUGAGGACGCUCGGCGGGCACAGGCCUGGUCAUUCGUUCGUCCAUUCAUUCACUCACUCCUUGAGCUGACUCAGGAAUAGAGAUGGGUUGUCUGCGGAUCCUAGAACAAGUUCUGGAGAUGGUGAACAGAUGGCCAAGCAGAAUUGCCAUAAUCCUCGAUAGCAAGAGGCAGCUUACCUUGUGGAAACUUGGGCCUCUCUUCUGACGACUGUAGGGAUUAAGAGAACAAGGGCGCUCAUUUGAGAACCCUGACUUCAGAAUGCAGGUGAACUCAGAUUUCUACAAAUUGGCCUGGCAAAGUGUGACUCCGUCCCCUCUCCCCGAGGUGGACAGUGCCCCCCAGUGGAAAUGAAGGCCCUGUGGUUUUGGCUGUGCGAUUUUGCGGAGCGAGCUGACUUUUUAGGAAUGCGUAUGUUGUGUUACAUCAGAACUGACGGUACUUAGAUGCUGGCAACUCUGAACUAAUGUCUCAGUUUGGAUUUCAGAGAAGAAUGGCAUGGGGGACAGUCCCCUCUAGGGCACAGGCAAGCCCCUGCCCAUCAUGUGACAACCCACCUGCCCCCACAGAUUUCCAGCACGCCCUCUGGUGAACCACUGGCCCAUUUCCACGCACUGAAGAUAAGCUAUAACUAUGCUGAUUGGAAGAAAUACAGCAAGAUGAGUGCUGUCCGCUGGAUGUGAGUACGUUCGUGACUUCAGACUUUCCGGUAGCCGCGUUUAAAAACAAGGUGCUAACAGGUAAUGCCUGGAUGCGACAGAGAUCGUGAAAGUCGAAUCUUUGGAAGCACCAAUCUGCUCUGAUCUCCUCCAACAAGAGGAAACGGAGGUUCUGGAAAGGGAGAAAGUUUGUCUAAGGCUACUCAGUGCGUGGAAGCAGGACUAGGGGCAGGUCAUGAUUGCCCAGAUUCUCUGAGCUCUUUCAUUCGGUUUCCAAGGACCCCUUCUUGGCCACUGGAAGUUCACCUGGAGAUCGGAUACCAUGAUCAAGUCCUCAGAAGGUGCCUUGAGGAUGAAUUUUCAAAAGCACAAGAAGCUGGACAAAAGCCUCUUCUACCCACACGGUGAAUUACCUGAACGAAUCUAAGAGCCUCAUUUUCAAAGACAAAAAUUGGUCGUUUACUGGAUCUAGAACAACUGAAACUUCCCUGGAUAACAAGGCUCUGCAGUCUCCUGUGGGAAGAUCUGCACAGACCCAGCAUCCUUGCUACAGAACCCUGGGAAUGCAGGCUUUUGUCAGGAGAUGAUCCAUUAGUCGCCAUCAAGACCCAAAUAGACUGGUAGCCAAUGAGAACGUCGGUCUUCCACAAGCCCGCCUCCACAGAACUGCAGGCCUUGUCGGGCCUCAUCUAGCCUCCUCAUGGGAACAAGUUCUGAUGUUCGGACCUGACCUUGACGAGCGUGCACCUUGUCAUUCUCCUGGAGAAGACGGGGAAACUGAAGAUUAGAGACGCUCAAUGUAACCAGCCCAAGACCACAGAUGUGGCUCCGUUCCAGGGACUUGAAGUAUAUUAACAUUGGACUCUCGCACCCGCGCUUAAUUCGCUACCAUGUUCCCCAUUUGACAGAGGCAUAGAAAAGACAGAGGACACACAUGAGGGGUGCAGGAGAAGGAGUUAAGGAGCCCGCCCACAAGAGGGACGCGAGGAUGGACAGAUCAAAGAAGAUAGCCUCAGGAGGCAAACAUCCGAAAUACGGGUUAUCGUGAUGAUAAAAACAGAUCCCUCCAAUAUAGAGCAAGUCCACGCUUUACAGAAGAGCCACUGGGUGAUGUCCAGCAGCAGAAAAGAGACCACUGUCACGAGCUGUGGGAGCAAGGCCGAACGGAUCGUGGUCACCCAGAACUGUGAGAGCCUCCAGUUCUGGAGGUCAGAAUUCCAACAUGGUUCUUACUGGGCUGAAGUCAAGUUGGGAGCAGGGCUGUAUUCCUUCUGGAGGCUCCAGGGAGGAGUCUGUUUCCUCGUCUUCUCCAGCUUCUAGAGGCUGCCCACAUGCUCUGGCUCCCGGCCCCUUCCUUCACCAUCAAAGUCAGCAAUGGUGAGUCCUGUCCUUCCCACGUUAUCCUGACGCCUUCUGCUUUUGUCUUCCCUGGCGCUUUUCAGAACACCUGUGACUUCACUGGCCCUACCCUUAUAAUCCAGGAUAAUCUCCCUCUCCUAAAAUCCGAUGCUUGGCAACCUUAAUUCCAUCUGCAACCUGAACUUCUCUUUUCCAUGGAGCCUAAUACAUUCACAGGUUCCAGGCAGUAGGAUGUGGGCAUUUGAUGAUCUGUUUCUCAUCUUCUCCACUCCGCAGUUGCACGACUAAUCUUUCAGGGCAUCUCCUUCUGAGAUAACCUUGGAUCCUGGGGCACUCCGGCUCAAAGAUAGAAUGCACGCCUACAUGUACAUAUGUGUGUACACACACACACACACACACACCAUCCAUCCCAGCCUCCUGGGGUCAAUCAGAACUAGAAUUCAAGCUCCGUGAGGCAAUUUGGGGUUGUAUUCUAGGAGCUUAGAACAGCAACCAGUAUAUGGCAAGCGCUCAAUAAAUAUUUCUGGAAUCAAUGAAUCAGUCAACAAUCAGAAGAAUAAGUUCUUCAGUAGGAAUGGUGUAACCGUAUAAUACUUGAGCCCCAGAGUCAGAUAUAGGGUUCAGUUCUUGCCUAGCUACUUACGAGAUCUAUGACCCUUUCAGAGAGCCUCAGUGACUCCAUCUCUAGAGUGAGAACAAAGUCACCUGCCUGACAGGACUGCCAUGUGGCUGAGUAGGUCUAGCAGAAGGUCUGGAAUGCCCUAGUGCUCAGGGAGCAGAAGCCAGCACGGUCUCCCUCCCCCCCGGGGGUCACCGUCUUGGACAGGAAAACACAUGUGCAGGCAAACAAGUGCCUAGAGCCUCAGAGGUGCUUUUGGGGAGAUGUGUUUGCGUUCAUAGUUGGGAGACAAAGUAGGAAAUGAUCAGCUUCAACAUCAAGGAGGCUACAUAGAUGUGUCCACCCUUGAACCGAAUCUGAAACAAUCAGUAAGUGGCAGAAAGAUGACAGAAGGGAAGGGGCGUUCCGGAAGAGGGACCAGCACGAACAGAGGCCCAAGGGCAUGGAACUGUAAGCAGGUUUAUAGAAAUGGAGUAAAGGGAGUUACGGGGGCACCGGGCAUGGCAGGCAACGGGGCUGGCCUGGAGGAGGGAUAGGUGAGCUGUGGGGGGCCAACCCCACGUGCCGUGCCAAGGGGCUUCGAUGUCCAGAGAUGGCUGUGGAUAGGCUGGAUGGGCCACCAGUGGUGCGUGCACGCACAUCGUCUCCAGCGCUGUGCCUUUUCUCUCCCAUGCAUUCACACAACUGACACACACAUCACACACACAUGCAGGGGUUUUAUAAAAACUACACACACACGGGACGUGCACACCCAUUGGACGUACACGCAGUUUACCAGCUAGAAUGACGCAUGCAUUUGGGGCCUGUGGUCGGCACGCCCACACGUCAUAGUCCAGGAACCUCUCCGCACACAGAGGACACGUACGCUAACAAAGGCACGGCUGACCAUGUGGCCAGAUGCGCGCACAGACCCCCGGGGAAGCACCUACACACUGGCCGUGCGCAUGCAGGCACACGUACGGUCAGGCAAUGCACACGUAGAACACGACACACACAGGCACGUGAAGAAAAGCGCACCCCCACUGUCCGUGUGUACACGCCGCAACUGACCGCACCCAUCUUCUCACACGGUGACCGGUAUGUCCUCGCUCAAACGCACGCCCGUACGGAACAGGCGCUCACACCAUUUAGACACACACAUGGGCGCACGUGUCAGCGUGCGGAUCCCUCAUUGCUUUCUGGAAGGUGUCUGGGUUCCAGGGCAGGCACUUGUUCGGCCCGAGGGAAGCCGUGAUCGCUCUCCAAGCCACUGCAGACAGAGCAGCUAAGAGACCUGCUUUUGGAGUUCACAGUUUAUGUCCACCUCUCUCCCCGUGGGGGGGUGGGAGCGUGUCCGUGUUCCCAGCCUCAGUCUCCCGGCCGGCCCCGCCCCGGCUGAAGUCCCUGCAGCCCGUGACGGCUGGACGCCGUCCAAAAGCAUUGCUGGGUCUCUUGCAGGAGUUCCCCAGGUACUACUGGCUGCCCGGCCUCCUUUCCUAACUGAGCUGGCGGGGGGCCAGGCCGCCCUGGGGGAGGGGGCAGAGCCGAGCGCUCCGUGGCUCCCUGCACGGCGAGGCCCUCAUCAGCUGCUCUCCCCGGGGCCCUGUUUGGGUGAUGAGCCCAGCCAGUGCUGGAGCUUGGCAGAGAGGGGUCUCGCACGACAUCUGCUUGGCCUCUCUGGGGCUAGUCAAGCACAGCUCCCUCUUCUGCCCGCGCUCAUCGCGGAAUUGGGUUCCAAUGAGCUGGAACCUUGCGUUUCGCCCGAAGUUUUGACAAGCCGCUGUUUCCUGGCAGCAGCCGGGAUGGAGCCGUGACCUCCAUCUGGGUUAAUGAGGGGAAGGGCUUCCCGCACACCUGCCACGUUGUCCCGGCUCCCUCGCCCUGCUCCAAGGAGCUAAUAAACAGGGUCACGCCUCCUCCUUCUCCUCCUUCUCGGAGACCAUGUCGUGCCCUCCAUCGCAGGGAGCCUCAGCAUAUGGAGCCCCAGCCCCCUCCUCUUUGUGAGAGGAGGAGAGAACCGUGGGUACCAGUGACGGCGAGCCCAGGGACAUUGACAGUGUGAGUCAGAUGUUAUCCACAGCCCUCACUCCUAGCACAUGUAGUUAAAAUUAGUCCAAACCCGAAUUCCACGGAUUUUCAAAAACCCAGAGUUGUCCCCGCAGUUUACUGCGAAUUCCCCCAAGAGCUAUCGCCUCCUAUUUCUGCCAGCUUCUCAGCUCACGUGGCUUGUCACCCUCAUCCAGCUGAACAAGAAGCAUGUAUCUUAAAGGGAUUUCUGAAAGAAAGCCACUCAUCUGAAACACUCCGGGCACGGGGCCUUUACUGAAAGGUUGAUGAUCCCAGGACUGGAUGGGUCACAGGGGCACACGGACGGCUUUAGGACACCACGCCAGCAGUAACACCACACUUCUACCCUUCCUUCUUCCUUCCUUCUCUGGAGUGACACACAAGCCUGUCCCCGGCUCCCUCGGUCUGCUCCCAUUCAGGCCCAAGAAGAUCGGUUCCCUCCCCGAUCCCCAAACAGACCGAUUUGAAUAUUCUUCUCUCCUAAGAGUGGGUGUCUGUUCAUAAGAAAUUCUCAAUACAGCUGCCAAGAGAGGAAAAUAUUCCCCCGUGGCAUUACAUAAUAAAGCUGUGUGUUGGGCAGAGAAAUUCCUCCAACAAAGGUGAAUAAACAUCACAGAAGUGAGCUCCCGGAGGGAGAGCACUUUCAACGUGAGGGAGAUGCCUGACCGCCACCCAGCUAACGGAAGAGAGAUGACGGGAAGGAGGUGUCCAGCCUGAUUCUCCUUUUACCCAAGCAAUGGUGAGGCCACUAAAACUCCGUCAGAAGCAGGGGCCCCUUAUCGGGCCCCAGGAAAGGUCUCUCCGGCCAGGGCCUGGGUCUUUGUUCCAGGCUGACAACAGAGGUCUGACUUUCAAGCAUCCACCCCCUCCCCCAAGCCACUGUGGUUUCUCCAGGCCAAGAGGGGAAGAAGGGGCAGGAGCAGGUUAUAGGGCUCCACCAAAGAGCUGACUGGUGGCCAUUCAUACGCAGGAGGGCUUCCUUUCAACAAAGUCUGUUUGUUUCCCCCAAGAGCCCUGGGGACUCUGUGCCAAGACAGAAUGACUCACUGGCUCCCAGGCCUUGCCUCCCCCUGGGAGACGCUCGGGCAGGGCUCUUCCCCCAGCAGAGCGCAGGAGAGCAGCUUCCAUGAGGCUCCAAGUGGAUGUGGUCUCUACAGAGCAAGCUUGGUUGGAAGUGCAGCCCAGAGAAGGCUCCAGUGAGGCCUUCGGGCCUCACUGCUAGUACGGAAUUCCCCAUCCCUGCUUGCUGGCUUUCUUCAAGAGUUCAAAUGUCAUCACUUAAAAUUUUUUCUUAUUUAUUUUUGAGAGAGAGAGAGAAAGCACAAGUCGGAGAGGGACAGAGAGAGAGAGGAAGAGAGAGAAUCCCAAGCACAAGCUGUCAGCACAGAGCCCAACACGGGGCUUGAACCCACGAACCGUGAGGUCGUGACCUGAGCCGAAACCAAGGGUCAGGCGCUUACCCGACUGAGCCAGCCAGGCGCCCCAAAUAUCAUCACUUUAAACGGGAGUCUUCUCUCCCGUCUGUGAGCCCACGCCACUGGAGAUGUCUGGGAGUCAAGGCCAACCUUGGAUGCAAACGUGUGGAUCCUCAUGCUGGAUGGUUUGAAAAUCGUCCUUCUUAACAUUCGAGAAGCUUUCAGAAAAGCUUUGUCAAUGACAGAAAAAGUUUCUUUACAUCAGUCAAAAUCAAUUAUAGACACCAGUAAGAUGUUUUCAUUGAUGGAAAGCUGGACAAAAUCCAGCCGGUUGGGCCGACUCAAGUUCAGAGUCAUUGUCUUUUAAAUUAAGACUAUACAGUACCUGCUAGUGACCCACAGGAUAGCCAGAGGGAUUAAAUGUGAAAUAGUCACUCCCAAGAGGAGGGGAUUGCUCCAGACCAAGCCAUAUGCAUACAUGCCCAGGACAUUCAAACUCCAUCUGACUUCACCCUCGUAUCCCCGUCUCCAGGCCCCGGGAAGUGUUGGUGUAUUUAUACCCAUUCUGAGAAAACUAAGGCCUGGAGAGAUUAAGCUGCCCAAGUCCACACGGUGAAUGAAUAUCAUAUAACUUGAUACAUUAAUAGGGCAAUAGGAUAGCAAAAGGAGGUGCUCAGGCAACCUACAGACCGAGAAAUGUUUUAGUGGCUUUUGAGCACCUUAGAAGCCCAAGUAUGAAUCAGCAAUGGGUACACUCAUUGUAAACCAGGUCUAUCUAUUGAUGAAAAACGAGUUCUGUAUGUCUUCAACCAUACUUGCCCCCAGGCAAGUUGUUUCCUAAAACAGGGAGUUAUCAACCUGCCUUGGUUGGUUUUUCUCACCUUCCCACCAAGGGAGAUGUCACCUCUUCCUUCAACAUUCGGCAUUCCCUUUGGGUCAUUCAUUCUGUUGGGGCUAAAACUGGUUAGUAAAAGGGACGCAGAACUUAGAGUCUAGGACAGGUUUUUCAACGUCAGCACUGUCGACGUGGGGAGCUACGUCCUUCUUUGCUGGGGGACCUGCCUGAUGCAUUCUAGGAUGUUCAACAGCAUCCCUGGCCUCAACCCACUGGAUGCUAGUAGCAUCCCCAAGUUGUGACUACCAAAAAUGUGUCCAGCCAUCGGCCCUGGGAGCAGAGCGGCGCCUGUAGAGAAUCAGCGUUCCAGAAGACAAGUCACCCAAACACUCAUAGCUGUCGGUGCAGGAGGCUCGAAUGACCACCCCCGAACCUGAUUUUCUUGACAGAGGUGACAUCUAAGUGAAAAUACUGCGGAUCUUGGUAGGGCGAGGCAGGAAAGCCCAUCCGUGGGUGAAGGAGAUGGCUUCGGAAACAUAUUUCCGAAGCAGGGGGAACGGCGUGACCCAAGGCAUGGAGGGAAACGUGAUCCUGAUUUGAAGCCUGUGUUGUUCAACAUUCACAUCAGAGCUCUGCCUACAGACGAAAGGCAGCGUUGUCCGUGUGCAUUUCACACGAUGCAGGGAGAAAUGGCAGAAUCUAUGUUCCAGAAGGUUUAGACAAGUUAGAUCCGUGGCCCAGCAUUAUGAUGCACCACCAGGAACAAAGGCAAGUUCCUGCAUUAUGGUUCAAAAACAAACCCCAGCCAUUACAAUGGGAAAUCUGGCUCACAGGCAGAAGAUUGUAGAAGGUGUUGGGUCUAAACCAGUAUAGUUCACACUCAUUCAUGCAUGAGAAUCCCCUGGAAGGCUUGUUAAAGCACAGAUUGCUGGGCCCCACCCCCCCAGAGUUUGUGAUUCAGGAUCUGGGUCCUGGGUGGAGCCAGAGAAUUUGCAUUUCAAACUGGUUCUCAGGUGGUGCUGAUGCUGCUGGUCUGGGGAUUCUCCUUUGAGAACCACUGGUAGAAGCCUCAGUUUCCAAAGAUGGUAAUAGCAGAGGGGUCAAAUUAAUAGAAAUAUGGUGUCUAGUGUGGGGAGGUGAGAACCUCAGUUCCCCAACUACCGAUAGGAGGCCAGGGAGAAGGCUGAGCACCGUAUUUUAAGAGGAUCUCUGGGAAACUGGAAGGUGUCCAGAGAAAAGUGAGGCAAGCAGGUUAUGAAAAGUGAUUGUUGAACAUGGAGUGUUUGGCCUAGAAGAGAGGAGUUAUGGGAAGAAUCUGGGGGCUGCUUCGGAGAGAGAGGGGCUGUACUGUGAAGGAUGAUUUGAACCACAUCUUCUUCCCACACCGUCAACCACAUUAGUUCAAGAUCAAGAAAACCAGGGUGGGAGUGUCCAGUGCAGAGUUUCUGGUUAGCCUAAAGUGGAAUCUCGUGGCAAUUCCACAUUUAGGGCAGCACGGUCCGGUAGAAAUGUAAUGUGACCCAUAUAUAUCGUUUAAAAUUGUCCUUGCAGCCAUAAUACAAAAAGUAAAAAAAAAAAAAAAAUAAAGAAAUGGGUGAAGGUGAUUUUAAUAAUACUUUUUUAUUCAACCUAAUAUUUCCAAAAUAUUUUUACUUGGACACGUAAUCAAUGCAAAAAUGUUUAGUGAGAUAGUUUACACUCUCUUGCUCGUCCCGUGUUCUAAAUCCAGGGUGCGUUUUGCGCACACGGCUCAUUUCCGUUCCAUUCGAACGAGCCGGAGACGAAAUGCUCCUUCCCCACGUGGGACUCGUGGCUCCCACACUGGACGGCUCAGCCCUAGUGAGCCAUGAGUCGGUCACAGUGGAGUGAACGGUUCCUUAUUUGAAUCCGUUUCUCUGCCUUCUGACUGUCUUUUGGAUUUAAUAACGUUUGCAUCCCACUCCUGCGUUCCUAUUUUAAAUGAAAGUGAACUCACAAGUGUUUCUGUAUAUUUUGAGAAUGUCAUAACGUGCUCUAAGUCGUCUGCAGGCAGCCUGAGGAGCCCUAAAUAGAGGCGGUGUCAGGACUCUUGCUCAUAAGUGACAGGAGAUCAAUGCAAUCUGGGUUAAGAACAUACCGAAACAACGUACUGGCUUACAUUUUGAAAAGUUCAGUGGUGAUGCUGGCUUUUGGCGUGCCCGGAUCCAGAUAUUAUCAACAUUGUCACCAGGAACUGGUUCCUACUGGUCCCCGAUUCACUCACUCCUGUGUUGCCUUCAUCCUUUGCAUGGGUCCCCCUGAGGUAGAAAUACGGCCACUGGAAACUCCAGUCUUAAAUCAUCUUUGCCGUAAACUUUCCCUACAGAAUGAGCUUCUUUUUUUCCAAUCGUUCUCAAUAGUUCUGGACGGGAAGCUUUCUUGGCUUGAAUUGGUAGUGUGCUGCUCAUCCCAGAAUCCAACACUGCGGAAAGCUAUUUGGUCAGGGCCAUCACCUCUGGAACCAGGAACCUAGGGAGUCUGCCCCGAGCAAAGUUCAAGAAUGGGAGAUGGGGGUGGGAUCCCCAGAGAAAAGAGAAGUGUUUGACGGACACAAAUAUCAGACGUCCACCAGAGAUGGACAGACCAAAGGAUAGAGACCAACGGGCCAUUUUGUCCCGGCUGAUGAAAAUUGCCUUUCGGAAGGGUCCAGCUUCUCUUUACUGUGAAGGCACUGCUUGGGAUUUGAUAGAUGAGGAGCUCAAUUUCAGACAGCGAUCUCAAGUGUUGGGGCCACCAUGUGAGACUUGCUUUGCUUUUCACCAAUCUACUUUAAGAAGCCUUGUCCCAUGUGGCUGAAUUUAGAAAUCAGAAGCCUGAGGAGUUGAAAGAAUAAAUCGACAUUUACACAUUCCCAGAAAAUUUGGAAGAGUGAAACUCGGCGAAACAAAAGCUAGAGUCUGUUCUUUUCCUUCCGUCCCCCAAACAAUGCGCUUUCCACCAAGAUGGCGACCGAGCUCACAUCAAAAGUGUCUGGGGUCAAAGAUGUGAAAAAGCUCACAAGGCUCACAGUCUAACUUCUUCGGAUUCCUGAACGUCCCAGACACAAACACAAUAUGCCUGCCAUCCAGAAACCUGCAGCCCUCGCUCACGGACAUUCUGUGUUUUUUGCCAGUUACUCGUUCCACCCUACCCGCUAAUUUUCUGCCCAGUGGAGCUCAAUUUCCCCAAAGCUAUGUACUUCCUCUGCUCACAUGUUCCUAAGAGGUUCCCAAAUUCAGCUGAGCCUGAAAUCUUUACAUGUGCAAUGAGUUUGGGAAAAAACAGAGGACUACAGAACUUUACCAAGCCACGGGACUUUUAGGGACACAGUAUCUUUUGUGAUAUAAAAUAGGAUUCUUUAUCUCAAACUGAGGUUUAUUUGCAAGAAACAAUGGCCAGAAAAUACUAGUUACUACGUGGCAGGCUUUCCCUGAAAGAUACCAAACACUUUAUUUGUCUAAUUUGCAGACUGCAAAUCAUCCUUCAAGGACCCACCCCACCCCCAAACUUUGCUGACUCUUUUCCAAGAGUCCUCUGCGCACUCUUGUUCUACCGUGCACUUCAAUCAUUGCACUGACCCCAGACUCUGAGGCAAUACGGCUUAAUGGAGUUAGACUGUCCUGGAAUCAAAUCUUAGCUCUGGCAUUUCUUAGCCAUGUAUCUAGAAAGUUCUCACGCUUGUCUGGGUCUCAUCUUCUUCACCUAUAAAAAAAAUCAGGGGCUCCUGGGUGGCUCAGUCGUUUGAGCACUCGACUGUUGGUUUUGGCUCAGGUCGUGAUCUCACAGCUGCAUGAGUUCAAGCCCCACGUUGGGCUCUGCACUGACAGCGUGGAGCCUGCCUGAUAUUCCCCCUCUCUCUCUGCCCCUCGCCCACUCACACUCUUUCUGUCUCUCUCAAAAUAAAUAAACAAACACUAAAAAAAUCAUAAAAAAAAAUUAAAAUCCCGCCUUUCUGGCUUGCUUUUAAAAACACUUGAAUUAAUGUGGGUAAGUUCCUUGAUGGAUAGGCACUUAGCAUUGUAAUUGUCAUCACACUGUUCUGUGGUUACUUGUUUAAAAGUCACUAGAGUCUUCCCGUUCGAUUCUGAUCUCCUCCAGGGCAAGGGCUGCUUCUCAGUAAACUUUUUGUCUCAAUCUGGAGCGUAAAGACAUACAUGUUUGUUGAAAUAAUAACAUAAAUACAUGCAUGAAUAUAUACAGAUGAAGCCAGAAAAGUUAGUCCACAGCCAGUCUCCAGGGGACUGUGGUCCUAGAACGGGAAUAGUAUACCGUACGAAACCCUUUCGUUGUUGGCUGAUGCUUAGACCCUGUUAGUCUGAGUCACUUGAAAUCUUUCUGAAGAAACAGUGCCCAUGGUCAACGUGAACAAUUGUAUCUGAUUCAAAGUGAUGAAGAACUAAGGGUGUUGAGUUAAUUCUCAGUGUCUUUCAAAUUUCACCAUACGAUUAAUCAUAUGAAGGAUCUUCUUCAUCUACCUCCUUCCAGACCACAGUGACCAGUCAGAGACUUCAAAUCAAAAUAACGGUGCUUGUAAAUUAAAAAUGUUUGCUUGCAAAUCAAGCUAUAAGUAUCCCAGGCCCUGAAAUCUCAGAGUUGGAUUUCUGAAUGAAACCCCCCCGUUAACCAUGCCCCAUUUUGGAACUAGGGAGGCUGCCUACGUAUUUUCAACUUGAAAAAAAGGCACACGCUCAUCCCAUUGGAGCCUACCACCCAGCACCAUUCUGGGUACCUUUAAACCUAAGAUUUCAAGUCAGGAAGUGAGGCAAAGCAGCGGGCACCGAAAUCGUCUCUCAGCCCAACUGACUCAGAAGCAGUCGGCCUGGGUAAACUCCCUUAUAAAAAAAGUCAUCCCUUGUUUGGAUCCAAAAACCCCUUCAGUCCAUGCUGUUAAUCUGGUCCUGACCAUAUUUUGUAAAUACAAAGCCUGGUUCAAUGGUCCCACCGAGACCACAUUUCCCAAUAAUGAGGGAAAUGGUAUUUACAGGAAGGUCUGAAACUUUCCCUCAGUAGCCUGUAUUUUUGUAAGUCCCGUAUGAAACCUCCAUGUGGGCAUGACUAAUGGAUCCACCUAAUUAAAUUUUUACAGCAUUCCAGGGCUGGAGUGUCAAAUGUUUGCUUCGAGCUUGUCUCCUUGUAACACUGUCAAAUAAGUCUCCCAUCCCCCCCACACACACACACCUAUUUUAGGGACUGUAGUCUGCAUUCCAAUGCCAUCAGAAUUUGGUUGAUGAGGAUGAAGAAAUGGAUUGCCAAAUAGUUUUUGCAAGCCAGCCUACCUUCACCUAUUUAGAGAGGUUAAAAGGGAAAAAGAAGAAGGAGAAGGAGAAGAAGGAGAAAAACAAAAAACCUCCUUCUAGCCAAGGUAGGAUUCUGUAUGGGAAGUUGAAAUAGUCGCUUCCAAUGGAUAAGAAGAUCACUGCUAUUGUUUAUAAAUUCUUGCUCGAAAGACUAGAGUAUGCUUUUAGCAAGAUGGGAUUUUAACGUUGAAAACAUCCUUGAAGUCAGUAGAUUCUAUGGACUUUAGGAAAAAGAAACCCCUUGAUAAUCUACAGUACGUAUUUUCUCAUUCUUUGCUGGGCAUUUGGUUUCAAAGCAGAGGUGUACAGUUAGACCCCUGGCCUGCCUCCAUAGUGGCCAUUGAGGGAUCGUUGAGGGUCCAUCAACAGGUAGACAAUUGACGAUGUGUCCGGAGCUGCUCGGCGAAAAGAGGAAAUAGAAUCCGAUUUUAGUAUUGAAUGAAUAUCAGACUCAAAAUAGGACACCGCAGGUUCGAGGAAGUGAUCUCCUCAGUGCUAACACGGAGCAUGUCAGAGGAAGAUUCUGGGAGAUAGACGCUCAAGAUGGACACAAGUCAGUGAAUCCCUGCAGGCUUUCUAAGCCAGAGAGCCUCCAGAAGUGGUCUGUGUCACCUGCACCCAAGAGCUUGUUAAAAUGCAGAUUCUCAGACCCCAAACCAAAACUUCUGAGUCAGAAUCCAGAAGUGGUAACAGGAACUCUACGCGUGAAGGGAGCUCCCAGACGAGCCCUACCAGCCUGAACUUGGAGAUCCCUACUCUGGGGCUGUUGGGAAGGUCAGAUCCGAACUCCACACAAAGAUGAUGCUGGAGGUUCCAAGUGACAAGCAAGGCAUGGAGGAACCAAGGCUAGAUGGAGACCCUUGCCAGGGAACCAGGGCACCGGUGCCAGGAAACUGAGGUCUUCAUCCAGCCGGAAGAUCCCUGUGGACACACAGAGCCCUACUCUCUCACCCCCGAGAGCCCGACAUGAUUCUUCCAGCCCAAGAUCUUCAAGAGUCAGUCAUAGUGGGGAGUUGUCGUCUGCUGUCUUCCAUUAAGCCCUCUCCUGUCAGCCCCCCUCUAUGCAAGUGCUCAGAAAUACACAUGCACACUCAAAUGUGUUCACCUCUACAUACGCAGACAGACAGACCCGCUCUUGCAAACAAACGCUUGAAUGCAUAUGAUUUGUGCACACACACACACACACACACACACACCUGAGCAUAUACAGAAGAAGGGCGCCAUUAUACAGAAUCUUCUUUCUGAAAUAUUGUCAAAAGAUCAGUAGGAGCCUAACAGGACAUCACAAUGCCUACAUCAUUCGCCUCAUUUCAUCGCAUCACGUAGACAUUUUAUCCUCUCACAUCAUCACAAGCAGAAGCGUGAGUACAGUACAAGCACAUAUUUCGUGAGAGAGCCCACAUUCGGGUAAGUUUUAUUGCCGCUAUAUGGCUAUAAUUGUUAUACGUUACUAUUAGUUAUUGUUGCCAAUCUCUUACUGGGUCUAAUUUAUAAGUUAAGCAUUAUCAUAGGUAUCUAUGAAUAGGAAAAAAAACAGUCUGUAGGGGGUUCAGUACUGCCCGUGGUUUCAGGCAUCCACUGGGGGUCUUGGAAGGCACCCCUGUGGGUAAUGAGCGUACGUACAUAUGCUUCUCCAUAUCUGCCUGCCCCCACGUUCUAACACAGAGAUGCUAUACCUCAGCUCUUGCUGAGAUGAACUAACCUCCCUUCCAAAUAUUUUUCUUUCUAAUUCAUCUUAGGAAAAUCGCUAACCACAGGCAAUUCUGGAAACCAUUUUCCUCCAAGAACCCCAUCCUAAUGUGGGAAUCGGCUACGUCCACAACAAAUGGUUGACCAGAGUCGGAGGAAGAUGAGACUGUCAGAAACUUAUGAUGCAACCAAGCAGGAUUUCUUGGAAGCCAUUUCUCCUGACCCCUGAUCCUGGGAUAGUCUCAGCACCACACGGGACAAAGAACUAGAAUAACGGGGUGGACCCAGCAGGACUUUGGAAUCCGGCGGCCCCACAAUAAGUGUCUUUGGCUGGCUGUGUUGACUCCAUGAACUUGGACAUGCCACAAGGCUUCUCGCAGGCAACACACACUUGGCAACCUCAAAUAAAAAGUGACCUCUUGAUCGGAAAGAAUUGAACUACCAUUCAUCUUCCUCUCGGGCCGCGGCUGAACACCUGUCCGUCGGCCAUUCUUGGUGAAGUGGAGGAAAUUCUGAUCCAGUGGCCACUGGGCUAAAUCAAAGACUCUGUCUCUUUUUCCAAAGUCAGGGCAGAGGAGCUGUUACGAAACAGAGGUCUGAGAAGGAAACUAGCCAGUCUUAUAAAACAUAGAUUGAAACCCCAAACCAUAUUAAGUUGAAGUGGGGACCAGAACUUCCAUGGAAACCACAUGCCAUAUCAUAUAGGGCAUUGAGUCUGAGAAAUGCCAGUUGAUCUGGGAUUGGAAGUAUUUUUUAAGUUUAUUUAUGUAUUUUGAGAGAGAGUGUGUGUGUGUGUAUGUGCAAGUGGGGGAAAAGCAGAGAGAGAGGGAGAGAGAGAGAGAGACAGAGACAGAGAAUCCCAAGCAGGCUCUGCACUUCAGCUGUGGUGCCUGACAUGGGGCUCUACCCCACGAACCGUGAGAUCAUGACCUGAGCAGAAACCGAGAGUCAGAGGCUUAACCAACUGCGUCACCCAGGCACCCCUGUAAUCAGAAGUAUUAAGGUGCUCUGGAUAGUGUCUGAGGAGACCUUCCUAAUCUUGGCACGUUCCUUUGCUUUCUUCACUACCUCCAAAUAAUAUUUGUUAAGCAUUUUGUGGGUGUCACGUUGUCCUGAACACUUUACGUGACCAUAAGUCUAUCCAAAAUUCUAUGAAAGGCUAUUGUUAAUCCGUGUCUUAGAAAUAAGUAAUUAAGACCUAAGGUGUUUGGGUAAAUCUUUAAAGUCCACGCAGCCAGUCAGUGGAGACAAUGGAAUUCGAAUCCAUCCAUCAAAGCCAACACUGUUUAAAUGACAGCUAGAUGUGGAGCCUCGGUGCUUCCCACUCCUCAUGCCCACACACCCACAACCGAUUCCCUGAUGGCUUCCGUCAUCACCUCUAUGACAGCCACCAAGAAGAUUUCCAUUUCCAUGCCAGCUCUACCCUAUAGGCAACAGUAGGGUCUACAGGCAGUCAGGCUCAAAGGAAAAAGGAUUCCAUGAUUGAUUAGUGAUGCCUGCUCUGGGUGCAGAAGUGGUCACUAGUGGUACGUAUCACAUCAAUGUGCUGCCCUCUUUAUUCUGACGACUGUCCAAUCUCUCUUGCUAAACAGUACUUUAUCUUCUGAACUCCAGAGCCAGAUUUUCAACCGCCUACUAGACAUCUCUACUGGGGUGGCAUAUUGACACCUAAGACUCCUCAACACUGGCCUCUUUUCUCAUGGUCCCUAACCUGGUAAAAAAAAUCAUAAUAUCAUAAUAUCAUAUAUAUCAUAAUAUCGUAAUCAUAAUUAUCCACCCGGGUUCCAAGCUGGAGGCCUGACCACUGAGCUGAGCUCUUCUCUCUCCUUCAUUCAAUACUCCAUCCAUCACACAUCUUUCCCAUUGUACUUUCCAAAAACAUUUUGAGAAUCUGCUGCCUCUGUCACAUUCCUAUUCCUUGAGUCUAGGAUAGGCCCUCAUUUCCACCAAUGCAAUAUUCCACGAACUACUGCUUCUGCUUCCAGACUUGCCCAGCCACACGUUCCUCCUAAAGCACAAAUCUGGGUACACAUUUCCCUUGCCCAGAUACCUUUGUGGCUCUGAUAAGGUCAUGCUCUCCAGCUAGCAUGGGAGACCCUGCACCGUGAGGCCUCGUUUAACUGUUGAGGUAUCUCCAUGCCCCUCCAUUAGCCACCACAUCCCCUUACCUGUGCUCCAACAGCACAACCACCUUGCUCUGUUCUUCCAUCCUCAUUCGCACCUACGUGCCUUUGCACGACCUGUUUCUUCCACUAAUAUGCCCUCCCCCAUAAUUUAGCGAUCCUUUAUAGAGACAUCCAUGCCCUUGGUUGACACAAGUCAACAGUCACAGAUUAUGUGCUUGGCUCGAGGAAGCACUGCCUGAAGGUUCCAAUGUAGCUCUAGCAAGCGCACCUGCUCCAAGGCUUGCCUUGCCUUGAAAGCAGUGUCCUCUUGAAAGCAGUAGCUAUUAGAAUGAGAUAUACAGUCAAUACAUCCAUAAGCAAAGGUAGCCUACAGACAGCGCCCCCAUGGAAGCUGGAUGGUGAGAUCUAUGACCCUCAGUCACCCCCUGACAAUGUCAGUUGCAUUCCUGGCACCUGGUGGAUGUUUGCACCAGCUUACAGCUGCCAUUGCAUUCGGGCCACGACUUUUCAGGGCACACGACUCACAGCUAGGCCCCCAGCACACAGAUCUGACUCAAGAAUGUGAGCUCUUUGAGGGCAGGGGUCAGUCAAUGAUAGCCUCACCUUCCUGUUGUACCUGGGCUGGGAGCCUGGACCAGGCAGGCAUUCAAGAAAUGGUUGUCCAUGGAUCAAACAGAGUGAACCAGAGAAUAGAUGACUCAGUCUCAGCACCAUCCCUCAUUAGUUGGGUGGUCUUGGUCCAAUUUUUUAACCUCUCUAUGGCUCUGGGUCUCCAACUACAGAAGUAGAAUAAUAGUGGUGCCAUAUUCUUUGGUUCUUCAGACCUUGUUACCAAUGGAUAGAGGAUGGAUGGAUGGAUGGAUGGAUGGAUGGAUGGAUGGAUAGAUGG